rnacentral:rRNA from 1 species
GACGAACGCUGGCGGCGUGCUUAACACAUGCAAGUCGAACGAUGAAGCCGGAGCUUGCUCUGGUGAAUUAGUGGCGAACGGGUGAGUAACACGUGAGUAACCUGCCCUUGACUCUGGGAUAACUGCUAGAAAUGGUAGCUAAUACCGGAUACGACCCUCGGAGGCAUCUUCAGGGGGGGGCAAGAAUUUCGGUCAAGGAUGGACUCGCGGCCUAUCAGCUAGUUGGUGAGGUAAUGGCUCACCAAGGCGACGACGGGUAGCCGGCCUGAGAGGGUGACCGGCCACACUGGGACUGAGACACGGACCAGACUCCUACGGGAGGCAGCAGUGGGGAAUAUUGCACAAUGGGCGCAAGCCUGAUGCAGCAACGCCGCGUGAGGGAUGACGGCCUUCGGGUUGUAAACCUCUUUUAGUAGGGAAGAAGCGAAAGUGACGGUACCUGCAGAAAAAGCACCGGCUAACUACGUGCCAGCCGCCGCGGUAA